GCAUUGCUAUUGGGGUUCGACUAAGAAUGCUAGUCGACCACCGCCCCUUCGGGGGCGGAGGGGCGAACGGCUCAGUAACACGUGGCUAACCUGCCCUCGCGUGGGAAAUAACCUCGGGAAACUGAGGCUAAUGUCCCAUAGGGGAGGAUGUCUGGAAUGACGCCUCCCUGAAAGCUCCGGCGCGCGAGGAUGGGGCUGCGGCCGAUUAGGUAGUAGGUGGUGUAACGGACCACCUAGCCGACGAUCGGUACGGGCCGUGGGAGCGGGAGCCCGGAGACGGGUACUGAGACAAGGACCUGGGCCCUAAGGGGCGCAGCAUUCGCGAAAACUCCGCAAUGCGCGAAAGCGUGACGGGGGAACCCCAAGUGCCAACACAACGUGUUGGCUUUUCUGGAGUGUAAAAAGCUCCAGGAAUAAGGGCUGGGUAAGACCGGUGCCAGCCGCCGCGGUAACACCGGCAGCCCGAGUGAUGUCCGCGUUUAUUGGGCUCAAAGCGUCCGUAGCCGGCCUGCUAAGUCCCCGGUCAAAUCCGGCGGCUUAACCGUUGGUUAUCUGGGGAUACUGGCAGGCUUGAGGCCGGGAGGGGUCAGAGGUACUCCUGGGGUAGGGGUAAAAUCCGAUAAUCCCAGGGGGACCACCAGUGGCGAAGGCGUCUGACUGGAACGGGCCUGACGGUGAGGGACGAAACCCUGGGGAGCGAUCCGGAUUAGAUACCCGGGUAGUCCAGGGCGUAAACGAUGUGGGCU
rnacentral:rRNA from 1 species